UCGGCAUCGACCAGAGGGAAAAGGAGCAAUCCGCUUUGAGAUGGCCUCGCGUCCGAUUAGCUAGUUGGUGAGGUAAUGGCCCACCAAGGCGACGAUCGGUAGCCGGACUGAGAGGUUGAACGGCCACAUUGGGACUGAGACACGGCCCAGACUCCUACGGGAGGCAGCAGUGGGGAAUAUUGCACAAUGGGGGAAACCCUGAUGCAGCGACGCCGCGUGGAGGAAGAAGGUCUUCGGAUUGUAAACUCCUGUUGUUGGGGAAGAUAAUGACGGUACCCAACAAGGAAGUGACGGCUAACUACGUGCCAGCAGCCGCGGUAAAACGUAGGUCACAAGCGUUGUCCGGAAUUACUGGGUGUAAAGGGAGCGCAGGCGGGAAGACAAGUUGGAAGUGAAAUCUAUGGGCUCAACCCAUAAACUGCUUUCAAGACUGUUUUUCUUGAGUAGUGCAGAGGUAGGCGGAAUUCCCGGUGUAGCGGUGGAAUGCGUAGAUAUCGGGAGGAACACCAGUGGCGAAGGCGGCCUACUGGGCACCAACUGACGCUGAGGCUCGAAAGUGUGGGUAGCAAACAGGAUUAGAUACCCUGGUAGUCCACACCGUA
rnacentral:rRNA from 1 species